GGCAGAUGAUGGCUUUUUCUCACAGUGGCCUGCGGAUGCAUCUGCAGGCACUGCCGAUAAUGCCAUGGGUCAGCUGAUGCCAGAGA
rnacentral:snoRNA from 1 species